rnacentral:rRNA from 1 species
GAUGAGCGCUGGCGGCGUGCCUAAUACAUGCAAGUCGAGCGAACGGACGAGAAGCUUGCUUCUCUGAUGUUAGCGGCGGACGGGUGAGUAACACGUGGAUAACCUACCUAUAAGACUGGGAUAACUUCGGGAAACCGGAGCUAAUACCGGAUAAUAUUUUGAACCGCAUGGUUCAAAAGUGAAAGACGGUCUUGCUGUCACUUAUAGAUGGAUCCGCGCUGCAUUAGCUAGUUGGUAAGGUAACGGCUUACCAAGGCAACGAUGCAUGGCCGACCUGAGAGGGUGAUCGGCCACACUGGAACUGAGACACGGUCCAGACUCCUACGGGAGGCAGCAGUAGGGAAUCUUCCGCAAUGGGCGAAAGCCUGACGGAGCAACGCCGCGUGAGUGAUGAAGGUCUUCGGAUCGUAAAACUCUGUUAUUAGGGAAGAACAUAUGUGUAAGUAACUGUGCACAUCUUGACGGUACCUAAUCAGAAAGCCACGGCUAACUACGUG